rnacentral:lncRNA from 1 species
AUGGAUAACUUUUUGCUUUUCUGUCUGCAAUAAUGAAGCUUUCCUGAUGUGGACAAUUAAGGACUUUUUUGUUCUUUGGGAAAUUAUCUAGGUGCGUCACUCAGCAGUCUGCACAGCUGCAGUCCAGCCAGCUCCGUGCCAAAGGCGCCGCAGCUCAUUCGUGAAAAGAAUCGGCGAGAGAAAAACCUUGUGUCUGCAAGAUGGAGGAGUUGAAAAUGACAGUUGCUUCUUCCAGAACCUGCAAACAUGAAGCCCCAAAUUUAAGCUAAACUCUUCACUUA